GGAAACUUUAGAACUAUUCCAACUCCAAAUGGCUUGUCUGUUAAGGAUUUUGUUUUCUUUAUCAACUCCCGCAUAUAAUCAGGGGAUUCCUACAAAUUUUGACAUACAUAAAUUAAUGACGAACAUUUAAAGGUAGUCUUAGAGAGAUGACUAAAUUAAUUUAGAUUCUAAUCUAACUUAUUAAAAUUAGAGCACACGUUUGAGAAUGUAACAAAACCAGAUACAAUACUAAGGAAAUAUGCAUCGAAGUCACAAUUUUCUAGUUGAAAUACUGACGGUCUAUAAGUUUUGACUGUUCCUUUGAAUUAGGUCUAGAUACAGUAAAGAACAUUGACAGGUAGUCUUAUUAUGGAAUCUAUCCACGAAAAAGGAGAUUUGAGGCAUACAUCAGACUGUCAGCAUUAUCAAUCAUGAAAAUAGAAACUAAUACAAAGCUAACUGGGUAAGAGAGAGGGAGGGAGGGCGACUAAGAGAGAGGAAUAUCACUCUGCAUGAUGAGUAUUACUAUACAAGGAACAACCGCUUGUCAAUGAAAUUCAAAAGUUGCUUUAAACAAAUAAGGUUAGUGGUCAAUUUUCAUGAUCCCUAUUACUGGGUCCAUUAGCGCAAAUUAGAAUUGAUUCAUCAAUAGACGAUAUACUUCACUACUACAAAAGCGCCUAUUAAUAACGGUUAAUACAAAUUGCCGUUUUUAAUAAAGCCUAAUGGAAACACACGAUCAUUUUCCUUCUAUUAGAAACGGUUAGCUGAAAAAUAAAGGAAAAAUAGGCCCAUUGGUAAAUGAAAAUUUUGGGGGGAAGUUAAAUUUCAUUGUGGCGCCUGGUUAAAAAGGGGUAGGGAAAAUUUUGGGGGAAGCUAAAUUUCAUUUUGGGAUCAUGGUGAAAGGAUCAGAAAACUUUUCCAACGAUCCAUUCCUUUCUCUAUCUUAACUUUAUAGCAGAUCUCUUCCUCGUCCAGCGAAACGAUAAUCAACCAGGCAUCAGUGACUUCUAAAUGCUUGAUUGGAGUUCCAGAAUGCACCCUAGCCUCCACCGGCACCAUAAAUACCCUCGAUUGCUUCAGGAAAACCUUCAUCGUCCUCCUCAAUUCGUUCUCUUUACCAAAUUGGAAACGCCAUCGACACGGCCGAGCGAGUCGAUAGAGAAGCCGAGCGCGGGGGUUGCCCUUUGGUUGAUGUUCUCUCCGUGGACACCUUUGCUCCUGUAAUUUCUUCGUUCAUAUUCCUCCCCCUACCUGAUAAAUUUUAAGGUUUUUUUGCACUUUAAUACCCCUAAAGUUUCAUCCUUUUCUAACCUUGGCCCUCAUCUUGGGCUAUGUUGUCACCAACACCUAACAGUAUGUAAGAUAAAAUGUAUAAAAAACUAAUUUCGUUAUCAUCACUUCAUUUUUACAUUUGUAAUUAAUUUUAAAUUGAUAGCAUUGUUUUUCACUCUCAACUAUUUCAGAGGUCAUGACAAUCUCAAAUUCUUUCUUUGUAUUGCACAUGAUGCUAAGGAUGGUGGAUAAAUUCCUUGAAAUGGAUAUACAUGUUGUGCACUCCACUUGUUUGAUGAAAUGCCAAUACGUGAUUUAUUGGCCUAGAAUAUUGGAGUAUCUCCUCAAGUUUAAGUAUUGAGAGUUGAUACUUUUUUCUAUAAUUAACACCUUAAUUGUUACUAGCAUAAUCCUUUACUUGAUAUCAUGCGAAAAGACUAAAAUUGGUUGUGGAGAUUAUGAGAUUCUCAACAACAAAGUUAUCAAUUAUGUUAACCAAAGGUAUGAACUUUUUGGUAUCCUUUUCUUACUGUUUCUGAUCAUAAACUUUUUUGUGGGAAGUCUAAAU